UGUGAGGACGCUCCCACGACCACCUACC
rnacentral:piRNA from 1 species